rnacentral:rRNA from 1 species
GACGAACGCUGGCGGCGUGCUUAACACAUGCAAGUCGAACGGAAAGGCCCUGCUUUUGUGGGGUGCUCGAGUGGCGAACGGGUGAGUAACACGUGAGUAACCUUCCCUUGACUUUGGGAUAACUUCAGGAAACUGGGGCUAAUACCGGAUAGGAGCUCCUGCUGCAUGGUGGGGUUUGGAAAGUUUCGGCGGUUGGGGAUGGACUCGCGGCUUAUCAGCUUGUUGGUGGGGUAGUGGCUUACCAAGGCUUUGACGGGUAGCCGGCCUGAGAGGGUGACCGGCCACAUUGGGACUGAGAUACGGCCCAGACUCCUACGGGAGGCAGCAGUGGGGAAUAUUGCACAAUGGGCGGAAGCCUGAUGCAGCAACGCCGCGUGCGGGAUGACGGCCUUCGGGUUGUAAACCGCUUUCGCCUGUGACGAAGCGUGAGUGACGGUAAUGGGUAAAGAAGCACCGGCUAACUACGUG